AUACAUUCUUGCACACAUCAGUAGACAUAUACUAAUUCUUGUGUUAUUCAUCAUCAAUCGGCACACAAGAUCCUGCCGAGUAAGGCGCGUAAUAAUUCAUCUGGAGGUGCAGAUCGAUGGGUUAGAUUUCUGGAUCUUCUUGUCUUUGCCGGGCCUUUAUUGAAAUAUAUCAGUCAUCAUGCCUCGAGAGUAUAUUGCCAUUGACACCGUGGAAGAAGCUGUGCGAAUGAUAAUCCCUUUUCUCGAGGAUACGAGCAGUACUGCACACAAGGCCAUCUAUUUUCAUGGAUGGCAAGGACUGGCUGCUUCGGCGGUGCUUAGAGCCAUAGCUGAAAACACUCCGCCCUCU